rnacentral:rRNA from 1 species
UACAGAGGGGGCAAGCGUUGUUCGGAAUUAUUGGGCGUAAAGGGUUGGUAGGUGGUCUUGUUUUGUCUAAGGUGAAAUCCCAUGGCUUAACUGUGGAAGUGCCUUAGAAACGGCAAGACUAGAGUCCUAGAGGGGUUUGUGGAAUUCCCGGUGUAGCGGUGAAAUGCGUAGAGAUCGGGAGGAACACCAGCGGCGAAGGCGGCAAACUGGAUAGGUACUGACACUCAACAACGAAAGCGUGGGGAUCAAACAGG